UGCGACGAGUCGAGAUGGUCUAGCUUUGACUGACCAGAUUGAUAACAGAGGCACAAGGAGCGAUCCAGCUGCCGGAUGCAGGGUGUCGGAAUAUUCCUUUUGUGGAGAU
rnacentral:ncRNA from 1 species